rnacentral:rRNA from 1 species
UACGGAGGGUGCAAGCGUUAUCCGGAUUUACUGGGUUUAAAGGGUGCGUAGGUGGUUUUGUAAGUCAGAUGUGAAAUUCCUGGGCUUAACCUGGGGACUGCGUCUGAUACUGCGAAGCUAGAGUACUGUAGAGGAAAGUGGAAUUUCCGGUGUAGCAGUGAAAUGCGUAGAGAUCGGGAGGAACACCAGAGGCGAAGGCGGCGACCUGGACAGGCACUGACACUCAACUACGAAAGCGUGGGGAGCAAACAGG